rnacentral:rRNA from 1 species
GAUCAUGGCUCAGGAUGAACGCUGGCGGCGUGCUUAACACAUGCAAGUCGAGCGAAGCACUUAAGUUUGAUUCUUCGGAUGAAGACUUUUGUGACUGAGCGGCGGACGGGUGAGUAACGCGUGGGUAACCUGCCUCAUACAGGGGGAUAACAGUUAGAAAUGACUGCUAAUACCGCAUAAGACCACGGUGCCGCAUGGUACAGUGGUAAAAAACUCCGGUGGUAUGAGAUGGACCCGCG